rnacentral:ncRNA from 1 species
UACAUCUUGUCGGAGUGCCUGGUGUGAAAACACCGGCUGAGACCGUUAAUUCGGGAUCCGCGGAACCUGAUCAGGUUAAAACCUGCGAAGGGAACAAGAGUAAUUCUGCU